rnacentral:tRNA from 1 species
GGGGCCAUAGCUCAGUUGGUUAGAGCGCUGCCCUGUCACGGCAGAGGUCGCGGGUUCGAGUCCCGUUGGUCCCGCCA